GAAUCUCUCCGAUGCCAAAGGGCUUGCCAAGGAAGCUGCUUUCUUGUUCCAGAACCGGCGGUUCCAGGAGUGCGUUGAAAUAUUGAGCCAGAUUUUUGAUAAAAAGAGGGGUGAUGCGAAGGUUCUUCAUAACAUUGUUGUUGCAGAAUACUUACGAGAUGGUUGCACUGAUCCUAGGAAUCUCCUUGAUGCAUUAAACAAGGUUAAAGAGCAGAGUGAAGAGCUUGCGCAUACUUUUGUGGACUAGAUUGACUCUGAGAAUAGCUG